rnacentral:lncRNA from 1 species
AUGUUUGGCUGUAUCAAAGAAGAAGGAGGUAACUCACAGUAUUUCAACCAACAUAGACCCCAUAGCGCCCGCCCCUGGCUCAGCGCCCAGUGCCAACAGAACACCUUUCAGGAUCCACAGCAAAAUAGACAACUGAGGCACCACAGAGGAAAAUGACAGAGCAAGACCUCAAGAAUCAAGGGAUAUCUAAAAAGCAACCAAGUCAUCAGUUCCAUGGCUAGAUAAAAGGGGAACAAGUUCGAUCAAGAAAGUCUUAGAACCAAAGGUAGAUAUUUUUUUAGCUAGUUUGCAAGGUGUU